AGAGAUUUGCCACAGGCACCUUUCAGCAAAUCAACAUUAUCAGCAAAGGCCACAUGUCCGUCAGCCGUGAUUCCCCAGUAAAGAGGAACCUUACCAAAUUGAUCCUGCCAAUAUCAUCCCACCCCCAAACAUUUCUCAAAUUAAUAUCCAACUUGUCAACGGAUUUAAAAGGAGGACUUUUUUUAGAAAAAAUUUUAAAGUGUUGUUUGUCCAUGGGGUUAGUAUUAUCUUCAAGCUAAGGGUUUUGUCUAUUAAUUCUAUUGAGAGUAUAAGUACUAAAGGUAUGGUUUAUAAAACAAGAGCACUUUCUUGGAUCCUAUUGGUAGGUGAUCAUGUGCCAUGCAUCAUCCGAUUCAAUAAAAUGCUCCUACUCUAUGAACCUUACAUUUAGCUCGAGCUUUCAAUAGAGUUGAGAGAUAAAACCCCCAACUCGACUGGGGGACAAUACCAACCCAUUUAAAGGUCUACUAGCUCCAAACGGACAUAACUUUGAAAUUUUUUUUGAAAAGGAGUCGACCUCUCUUCAACAAGAUAUUAAAAAUUAUUAAAUCAUUUUUAUUCAAACAAUUUGAGAUUCAAUCACUUUAGGGUUUAAGUAAAUUUUAAAAUUAAAUUCAGACCACUUGUUUGAGGUUUUAAAGUUUCAAGCCAGGUCAUUACGCAUACAAGUCAUUAAAUGUUUUAGUUACUUCAAGUCCACCAUUAAAUUAAUCUAGACCACGGACAAAAACAAGAGGCAUUUAAAACAAUUUUUUGUCUCCGCCUCUAAUCUAAAUUUGGGUUAAAAAAAUUUAAAUUGUUGUCUAAUUAAGUAAAAUCGUAUAUAAAUUUGAGUGUAUCUAAUAUUUUUUUAAAAUUUAGAUCAAAAUUAAUAGGUUUAAAACAACAUCUAAAGAUUAAGGAGAGAGAGUAAUUGAACUUACAGAAGCCACAAACAAGGUGGAGGUGGAGUUGUCAAAGACAAUGAAAGAAAAGGAUCCAUUAAGAUGGGCAACCAUAUGGCUAGGAGGGUAAGGUGCUCUGUCACGAAGAGCCUUGUAAGCUUCUAUCACCAAUACCACCUCUGUUGCUGACUUACCAAGUCCAUAUUGCUGCUUUAAACUCCCUAAGUUAUCAAGUGCCCCCUCAAACAUGCAGAAUAUUUCAUCUUUCACCGCGAAUGACCUGCCAUUAACGUAUUUUAUGAAAUUGAAAAAGUUAGUCCCAUUGGAUAAAACAUUAAAAUUUCAUCAUAAAAUUAUUUACUUAAAAAAUCAACAAUUUAAUAAUUUAUACUUAAUAAAUUAAUAAAAGUUAGAAGUUCAAAUUCAUAUAUUACUGAUAAUUAGACCAAUUUCUCAUUUUUUUAUAAAAUAAAAAGAUGAAAUUCAUAAUUAAAUAUAAUUUAUUAUUAUAUUAAAACCUAACCGUUAUCUCCUCAAUGAAAAUUUAUUUUAUAAAUCAUUUCCACCACAUCAUUCAUAGUUCCUUUCCAAUUAUUUAAUCAUAUUUCAACAAUUUUGUCCAUGUCAUUCAUACACAAUGUUGGUAAAUUUUUUUAUUUUGAAUCCCGAAUCCCAAAUUUUGAAUUCGGAAUCCAAAACCCCAAAUACAAACCUCAAACCUUAACUUAAAACUCUAAAGUUAAUUUAAGGUUUAGAGUUUUAAGUUUCAAAUUUAGUAUUUGGACUCAGAAUUGGAUUCGAGAUUUGAAUUCAAAAUAAAAAAAUUACCAAAAUUAUAUAUAAAUGAUAUAAAAAUUAUUAAAAUAUCAUUAAAUAAUUAAAAAUAUGCAAUAAAUAAUAUGAUAAUAAAGGUGGAUAAAAUAAUUUCAACUUUUCAAUAACCUAACAAGCAUAUCACUCCCCCUUUUGGCCUCAAAUCACUGGCCACCACGUGGGUCCCAAUCCUAUUUGGGCAACCUUAUCCAUUAUGCUAUCCAGAUCAAUUUAUCACCCCCACCCACCACAGGUCAUUGCCAUGCAAGAAAUUUGAAAAAGAAAAAACAACUUUAUAUAUAAUAAAUAUAAAAUUAAAUUAAAUUAAAAAGUAAAUCAGCAUAUUUAAAAUAUAGAGGUGUAUUUAAAAAGGCAUAAUAAUUUAUUUGGCCCUCUAACGUUACAAAACAAUCAUUUUAGCCUUAUAUUUAAUUUUGUCUUUUUUAACUCUUAAACUAAUUAUUUUAUCAAAUCACUCAAACUAAAUAAAAAAGUUAAUUUUCUUUAACUUUGUUGAUGUUGCAUACAUUUAGAAUGAUAUAUCAAUAUUUAAUUACUUUCUUAAAAUUUUAAAAUUAUUAUAAAAUUAUAAAAAAUAAAUAGUUUUAAAUUUUAAAAAAUUAAUUAAAUGCUAGUGUGUCAUCUAUAUAGUAAUCCACAUAUAUACUACAUCAGUAAAGUUAAAAAAUGUUAAUUUUUUCCAUCUAUUUUGAGGUGAUUCGACAAAAUACAAAUUCAAGAUCUAAAAGAGGUAAAAAAUUAAAUGAAAGUUUAAAAUAAUUUUUUUUAUAAAGUCGGAGGACCAAAAAAUUUAUUAUGCAGUUUAAAAAAUAACAUAUAAUUUGAAACCAAUUAAUAACAAUAUAUAUAAUAUGUAUGAUAUUAAAUGAAAAAAUAAAAUUAUAUUUUGAAUAAAAUAAAAAUUAAAUAAAUAAAUACUUCAAAUUAAGAAUAUUAAAUCAACUAUUAUUGGUGGAGGUAAUAAAGUAUAUAAAUAAAAUUAAAAUGUAUAAACUAUUUUAAAACAAAAGUUUGAUUGAAUGGUAAAAUUAAAAUUUUAUUACUAAAAUAUCACGAGUUCAAUCUCAUUAUAUAUCAAAUUAUUUAUUAAUUUUUUUAAAAUAAAUUAAAUUAAAAUAAUUUUGAUUUAUAAAACUAAUUCAAUAUUUAAAUAAUAAUAUAAAUAUUAAAAAAUUAAAAAUUAUGUAUCAAAUUAUUAGUUUUAUUUGGGAAAUUGAAAACACUUCGCUUAUAGGAUACUAAUCCAAAUUUUAUUCCCAUCAAUAUCAUAAAAUAAAGAAAUAGCAAUUUUAUGUACCAAUUCAUCUGGCUCUCCACUAUUACUAGUGGUGACUAUACUCAUAAGUUACAAUCAGAUGUCCUGGAUGUUAGACACGUGUAUGGUUGAAAUUAAAUCUAAAAAAUCCAAUUCAAAAUCCAUAUUUCAAUGUCAUCAACAUAUGGCCACACGUAAACCAAUCACCGGACCCCUCUCCACCCACCAAGGAAAAUGAAAAAUCAUAAUGACUUUACGUUGGACCGAGUUAUCUGGUUCUGUGGUCCGCGAAACAAAUAUAGAUGUGAUUGUGUCAUCUGAGUCUAUAGUGUUACGGAAAAAGGACUUCCACUAAAAUGAAUUUUAUGUUCGCUAUAAUUUGUUGAUAUUUUAUUGACUAUAAAUAAAAAUUAAUUAAUUAAUCUCUAUACUUUAAAAAUAAUUAUAAAUUAAUUUUUUUUGUUAAAAAUCCACAAUUAAAUGAUGAUGUGAAAAAAAAAAUCCAACAUGAAAUUUAUUUUUAUUUUAGAAAACGAAAAAUUCAACAUGAUAUAUUAAAAAUUUUGGAUAAAUGGAAAAAUGAAAACAUAAUUUCUUUAAUCUUAUUUAUCCUUUAAUUUAUCUUACUUACAUAAUUUUAUUUUGAAAAAAUCAAAUCAUCACUUACAACAAAUACAAAUAAAAUAUUUAACAAAAUGACCAAUUUACACAUUUUUUUCUAUCAUACAAGGGUUAAUUUACUCAUCUUUUUAAUAAAAAAGAGUAAAAUGCAAUUCAACUUCUUAUACAAGUGUCUCUGCGAUAUUUUUACAUGUUUUUUCCCUCUUCUUUUAUAACCACGUUAUAUUUAAGUUCCUAGUUGACAUGGGCAAAUCCACAGAUUUUUUUUAAUGGACCAAAAUUGAAUAAUAAAAUUUUCAAAUAUCAAAGCAUAAUUUUAUAAUGUAUUAAUUUAUGAUUUCAUCAUUUUUAAAGGAUUAAACAUAAUUUUUUUCAUUUUGGAGGCCAAAAUACAAUUUUAUCAUAAAUUAAUUUUAAUUUAAUCAUUUAAUAGUAACUUAUAUGGUAAUUUUUUCAUUUGAAAGCUCAAAUUUGUCUCUACUAAUUAAAUCAGUAUCACAAGUCAAAUGAACACCAAUUCAAUUGAAAAAUAUCUAAACUACUAUUCUACAUACAAAAUUCUUUAUUUAAAUCAACACGUCUAAUGAUUCUAUUCUAAUUAUUAUAACUUUAUAUAUGUUGAACUAAUAGAAAAUCUUUUACUAUUUUAAAUUUUAAAAAACUUAAAUAUUUGUGCACACAUAAAUAAGUUUUAAUUUUUAACUUUUUCUCUAAAUCUUUUGAAUUAUAUUUUAAUAAGUUCUUAAAUUUUAAUUUAUAAAUAAAUGAAUCUAUAACAUAAAUCAAUCUUCCACUUAAAGAUACGAUUUGAGUUAAUUUAUCACCAAUUUAAUUAAAAAUUUUAAUAUAUAUUAUAAAUAAAAAAUAUUAUUACGAUAACAUUAAUCUCUCUUAAUAAUUUAUAUAAAAUUAUUAAAAUAAUCUAUUUAAUGGGUGUGAUGUGCAAAAUUUAACUAAAUGAUGAAAGUUUAACUAAAUAACAGUUGUUUUAAAUAUAUAUUUUAAAAAUAUCUAUAAAAAUAAUAUAAUAUUUUAAUAUUUUUAAAUAUCUAAAUUAAAUUAAAUUUUUAUUUUUAAAUAAAUAUAAUAUUGUAUAUAUCAAAUUUUUUAACAUCUAUUACGUGACAUCAAUUCAAAUUUAAGUUCAUACAAAAACAUUUAAAAAUCAUUUAUUACAAAUUUUAUGGAAAAGUGCUAAAAUUUUAAUGUCAGGCAUAUAAUUGGCUGUUGAAUCUGUUUUAAAAAACAGAAUAAAUUGAACGCUAAGCAUUACGUAAUACUUAUAAUUUUCUAUUUGUUUAUCUAGAAAACAAUCGUCAGCCUCCGAUUAAUUAAAUUAAUCACAAUAAAUUUCUCAGUUCCUUUAAAAAAUCUUCAGGGAUUACGAAGCUUUAGAUCAACUUAAGAAGCUACAGAUGAAAAUUUUCAUGAACAAAAUUUUAUUAGUAACUAAAAUUAUAUUGUAAAUAAUGAUAUUUUAAUUGAAACAGUGAACACUGCUUUGAUCAACUUAAGAAGCUAGAGAUAAAAUUUUUAAAUUCGAACAAUUUUGCUCUUAAUCUCACUUAAACAUAUGAAAUAAAUUAAAAUCAUGACGGUUUCUUAGCCUUAUUGAUCAUUAAAUGAUCCAAUGGUCAAGAUCCAACGUGAUUGAUAUUUUUUACCUGGGAAGUAAAGCAGACUCGUUACGGUGAGAAUAAGCGAAUUGGACAUGAUCUCCGAUCUGCAUAGACACGGUGGAGGGGUUUGCCUCGAUGAACCGUUUCACAAGAGCGUCCGCCGUUAUCUUAGGCGACGGCGUCCUGCAACCGGCAGCCACCAGCUCGUCCGGCGGGGACACUAUCGCUCCGCUGAAUACU
rnacentral:lncRNA from 1 species